UCCUUCUCCAAUAAGGGUUUUUUUUUUUCAUUUUCAGGUUAGCUUCCUUGGUCACCCCAAUUUGUUCAUCUGCUGCCAUUUCCAGUACGUAGGGACAACUAUUAAAACCUUUAUUCAUUCCAAAUAUGAAAACAGUUAACACUCAUUUAAAUGACUCAUUCCAGUUCAGAAUUUCAGCGUGUAUGCACAACAGUGUGUGAAUUGGUUUGCCAGACGCAAACGUGCAAAAUUUCACAGUCAUCUUGACCUCAUGCCUGCCCUUUUCACCUUUUCACAUUAUUUGUCUUCUCUCUAAAUUUCUACUUGUCGUUGGUUUUGAAUUGGGCACGGCUCUGCUCCGAUACUUUAUCUGAAAUUUAUGUUCAGGGUCAGCUCUGAUCCCUUUUCCUUUUUUUUAUAGCAUAAGCCAUCAGUCACCUUUUUGACAGUUCGCACUUGGUGUUACAAUUUUCUGGCAGCCAAAAAUUGAUACCCCUAGAGUUCAUUGUCAGCAGCACCAGGUGCGAAAGUUCAGUCUCUCAGCCGGUGCUCUGAUGUCCUUUUUUACGUGACUUGGGUUCAGCGUCUGCCAGAUAAAGAAGCACAGUAGUACAUUGGCGUGAUAAUAGAAAUAGGAAGCCUUCAUCGUCAUUAUAUAGAGUACUUUAAUGCUUUGGAGACAUUUUUAGUGUUGCAUUCAUGGGAAAAACUAAGCUAAUGCUUUAUGUGCUAAUUAUGCUAUGCUAACUAUAACAAGAAAACAGAAGGUUUUGGUAACUUACUGAAACUGUAUCUUCUGUUGAUUUGUAGGAUCUUUGCUUUCUCCUCUGAUCCUGAAUCAGACGGCGGACACGCGCUGCAAAGGCCUGCACUACACUGAUGCACCACCGGUAAGUUCAAAACCACAUAGAUUUAAGUCAAAUCUUGUUUCACCAACUCAAACGUACAAAAUGUUCUGAACUGUUGUUUAAAACACAUAUUCUUAUUAUUAUUGUGAUUAUUUGACUUAUAUUUUUGGAUCGUAAAAAACACUGCCAUCUGCAAAUCCAAAAUGCAUUUAUGAAAAAACAAAAGCAACAUCUAAUGCACCUUAAAACUGCAAAGCACAGAGUUUUACUUUAAAGCUAUAGUGCGUAUCUUCUCAAUAUGAUGUAUGGCCAGGUGUAACCCACGGUAACACUUACCAGACACAGCAUACUGUUCGUCACGGUACACGGAGUAAUACUCGCGACUCACCGCAUACUGCUCAUCAUGGUACACGGAUUGUAACUGUCCACACAACACGUAGGCAACUAAAGUUACUCGACACAGCACACAGUAAAUUACACACAGCAACACGGGCUACACGCCUUGUAACUUAUUGCUCGUUAAGCUAACAUAACACAAUGUGGCGAACACCACGCUGCUAACAACACGUUACAUUCACAGCAGCAUUUUCAAGGCAACAUCGGUGUCGGACCUCAGUCCAAUCUCCUCCUUCAGGGCUCUCCACCGAGGAAAAGCGACGCCGAUACAAAUCUGCGUUUGUCUUCUCCGGUUGUCAAUCCCUUUCUCUGCCAACACACCUUCUGCCAAACGGGAAGGCUUUUUUUAUUUAGUAGGAUCCCCUUCUGAACCUCUCGGUCGCAUCUUCGGGUUGUCUGCCGUGUUGCUUCUAGCAGCACUCUCCUUCCCCCUCUCUUCUUGUUGUCGGGUAAAGCCGAGUAGAACGCGGACUUCCCUGUGCGCCAGUGCAGGAAUGUUGCCAAAGACACAAAAAGAACAAAUACUGAAAAAUACUGCAAGCCGAACAGCUUAGUCAGCGUUGUAUCAUCUCCUCUUGUUGUGGCUUGGGUGAAGCGGAUAUUUACCGACACGUAGAAGUUACGCACUAUAGCUUUAACUGUUUCCUUUGUUUUCAUACGAGUCUGUUGUGUAAAUAGAAAAAUAUUCACACGUGAAUCUGAAAAACCAAAAUCAUACUUUUAAUGUUCCUUUUUUGCUGUUUUGUAAGAUUUUCCUGAAGGGUGAAUAUUCCCCACUUUCUGGUGGGGUCUUUUAUCAUCCUGUUGGGAUUUUACAUAUCACUGACCAAUUGGGCAAUAUUCCUUUCUUAAAGUAUUUCACACAGUUUCAAUGCAGGAUUUUUGUUUUCUUUACAGUUUGAGUCGUGAUUAAUGACAGCGGUGAUGGACAAUUUUAAUGCAAAACUCUGUGUUUUGUUAGAGUGCAGUAUUUAAAUAACAUGAUAAUAAUAGAAGUCACAUGUUGGCAAUAUUUUCAAAUAUUUUAAAAGCGUGCAGAGCCAAACACAUUCUUUAAAGAGACAGGGAAAAACACUCAACAGUUUUUUUCUAAGUGCAUGAAGGUGCAUCUCCUCCCACUUUUCUUCAGUUUCUCCCUUCAAUAAAUGUGGGAGACAGACACGCUCAACUGCUGACACACAGACGGCUUUACUGUCAGACGACAGGCAGCUGCUCCUCCAGUCCAAAGAGCCAGUUUGAUAAAUAAUAUGCAUGGCUCCGGGUGAACAAUGCGUGGUCCUCAAUCUUUAUGUCUCUCCGACACGCAUGCGGCAGCCACAUACUCCAAGACUCGUUAAAACUCAACAUACACGCAACACAAUUACUAGGACUCUCUCAAACCCUUCCUCUCUCUCCCUUCAAUGAUUAAAAAACAAUAUCCAGCUUAUAACUGCAAGUUAGUCAGACACCCACACUCAUUUGCAGUGAAAGGCAAAUGACCCUGGUGAUGAGUCAUUGCAUUCACUCAGAGAUUUGCUUUAUUCAAACACUGAAAUCUCUUAAGGCUGAGUGAAGCAGUGGUUCUCGCCAUUGUGCCUCUGAGAGAGCUCAGGUGCGCCUUGAUGUUUUCUCAAAUGUAAGAAAAAAAGAAAAAAGUCAAGCAAAAAUAGCACAUAACGUCAUUAAAAUCCACUAAAAUCAGGCUACUUCCCAGCCUCUCACACAUACAUUGCAAUUAUGAAGGACUUCCUUGUCCUGUCAUCUGGGGCUUUACACAAUAUUUGCAGCCAAUCAAUAACCGGGCUUUCCUCUGUAAUGAGUUUUGUAGGUAAAUAUAUCAUUACAAUAAAGAUUUUAGACUGGCAGCGGGGAAAAGGCUGUUUCUGACAGGAAAGGCACGUCACUGAAUAAAUCUGUGAGUAAAAAAGCAGAAUUAGAAUCUUGACAUGUUUUGUUUUUGGACGUUUUAUGGGCCAUUCAAAUAAUAUUUUACUUCUGUUUUAUUAAGAAUCUUCUAUUUAACCAAAAGAAAUUUACUGAUUGGGCAUCAUCCAAAAGACUAAAAUAGCAAUAUCAGAGUUAAACAUGAUGGACAUAGACCAAGUAAAGCAAAUUUAAGAGUUUGUUUUUGUUGGAGGUAGGUACCAUCAUUUUCAAUGCUUAUUUUGACUCUUUAGACUGUAUAAAACAUAAAGCUAAUCUCCAAGGCCAAUGCUCACCCAACCUAACUUAAACUGGAAAACAAACAGAGGUAGAACUCAGGCAGGCCUCCUGGUAAUAAGCAACAUCACUGCCACCAGUUGGUCAACUCGGCCUCGCCCCUAUUACGUUAAUCUGUGCAAAAUUUAGUCUUAUGCUGCGUUCGAAUUACCUCGGAAGUCAAAUGUCCGAGUUGGGAAUGACGUCACACUCGAGUUAGCAGCGUUUCACUUAGCAAGUCGGGAAAAAAGCAAAAUCUGAGGUGGAAACAAGAUGUUGCAGAAGGACAGCAUAUUUGUCCAGAAGUUGCUUAUACUCGGACAAGGCAAGCGCUAAAAUAACUUUCAUAGAUGUAGCCGUCUUGUUUCCGCCUCUGAUUUUGCUUUUUUCCGACUUGGUAACUGAAACACCGGUAACUCAGGUGUGACGUCAUUCCCAGCUCGGACAUUUGACUUCAGAGGAAACCGAACGCAGCAUAAGUAUCCUCAACAUGGAUGAAUUACAAACCAUUUCAAUGCCUAUACAUUGUGUUUGUGAAAUGAGCCAUAUAAACCAAAUAUUUUGUGUUGUGCUUUUGUACCAGACCUGGUAAUUUUGCUGUAAAACAUUUAAUUAACAUUUUUUUAUGUUUUUACUUACUUAAGUUUUUAAAAUGAUUGGAAGUUUGGUUGGUUUCAGGCAUUUCUAAUAUGCGACUGCCAUCAUUGGACUUCCCCACGCCUCUUGAGAAAGCAGUGGGUGAUAUCAUAUGAGGCACCUUCUGAAGUCUGAGGUGACAGUUGUAGGUGGCAUAAUGAUAGGUUUACACAUUGCCUAUUUGGGCUGCUGAAUAUUGAAAAAUAAACAAAUAUUGUGCUCUAUUUUUCCUGUCUGCAAUAUCCUGCGAAAUGAAAUGGUACAGGAAAUACAGCAGAUAAAUAAAGAGUAUUUUCAGGGCUCAUAGACAGCUUUAAAAAUUGAAAAAUAAAGUUUCACUUUUGACUUUGCUAUUCAUUAUUUAUUUACUAUUUGGAUCUGUAAGUCUAUACUCUGAGCAGCCCUCUGUCAGCAGCUCUAAGACCUGCACAGAGAAGCAGAAAGACAACAGAUGGAGCGUUACUUCACUACUAAUAAAAGCCACAGACUUGUUUACAUGUAAUCAAUCAUUUCUGUCAUUGUUAAAAAUUAUUAUCUUAAUUAGCAUUCGUGUUUUAUUUGCAUCACAAGCCCAAUGAUAACUUCUAAUCAAACGUAAACCCACUGUCCUCUUCUGCAUCCCCUUUCACAUCACUGUAAUGUCCAUGCACUGCAGGUGUGAACACUAAGAGUAAACACUCUGUAGUCUUGUUUGUUGUGAAGUCCAUACUUGUAAACCAAACAUGAAUGAGCACCAAGACAAGAGGGACCCCAUACCAUCUUACAAUCUGUCGAUUUCCAGAUAUCUCUGACAGCAGCAGCAGCAGCAGCAGCACCCCGACUUUCAUGCAUCUUUGCAGUCAAAGGUCAUGUGGAACAUAGAUACAGACACAGCUUUCACAGCAGUCAGUGUUUUCUAUGUGUUUAAGUGAGGGGCCGCGUUACAGUAAGUUUAGGGAAAACAGUUUUCCUGGACUGAUCUACAACAGUGAAGAAAUCGUGACAACAUGAGGCAUUCUAGGUCCAGCAUCGGACAUUGCACGUCUAUGCUCACUGUGAUGCUCAUUGUGAUGUUCAAAUGAUAUAUUAUUCAGCCUUAAUGCCUGUGCACAAAAGUUAAGACCAACCUCCUGGCUUGAUUGAGAAAAGUGUUAAAAAUGGCAGUUCCUUGAGCGUCCACUUGAGGCUUGCCCCAGAAAUACCAAAAACCACAUACACCUAGGACCUUCUUUACAAUGAAGUGUAUUUACAGUCUAACUAUUAAAAAAAAGGGGGGAAAUGUUGUAUCAUCCUUAGUUUACCAUAAACAACCUUAGACAUUGCAUUAGGGUUAUUUGCAUUGCCGUCUUCGUAUGAACAGCCAAAGCUGACUGCCUCUUUCAUGGACUCUGACCAUAAACAGAUGCCAGAACCCUUACCCCCAAUUUUCACCGCAUCCGGAACAGCUCUGAUCCGGAAAGGCAGCCAUUUUCACUGUCCGCCAACUCCUAUCGGAUCCGAUUAUGAGGCGAAUAGGAAUCCGUGGGAUUACGGACAGCAGGAAUCACAAGAACUCACAAGAACCUGCGGAUUCACGUGCAAUCGUGCAAUAACAAGUUGUCUCUUGGAGGAAAUCCAGCAUCUCCUCGUCCAUGGUGUCAUCGAGAUGAAAUGCUGUCUCCAAACCUUUCACUUGUUCGUCCCCGCCCGUUUGCAUGGUGUGAAAUACGAUCCGCCUGAAACACAGAGUGUUUUAUUUUGAAAAGAAGCUGGAUGUUUUAUUUUGUGUCUGUGCCCGACUUCCUUUCCAGGACAGGUUAAUCUGUGCUGAAUUUAUCCGGCAUGCUCCGGCGUCCAUAAAAAAUAGAACUCUUGCGAUCAGCUGUGGAGUCCUGCAAUCCGCAGCGGAACAGAAAGAAGGCGGUUGAAAUUGACACAUUAACUUGAGUGGUUACGAUCAGCUACAAUCGGCUACGAUCAGCGGAUACAACCUUUUCGUAGCCGUUCCGGAUGCGGUGGAAAUUGGGGGUUAUGGUGCAGAAAUCCAGUCCAACAGCUUCAGAUUGUACUUUUUCAUGCAAAAUUAUAAAUAAUAAUCAACAAAAGUUAACAGUAUUCAUCAAUGAUUAAUUACUUUAAAGACCAUCUACUGCAAUGUUUGAUCAAUUUGAUUUAGUCUCUUUGUUGACAGACCGAUAGACAAAGGUUAAAGGUGAAGGUGGGUGAGACAGGCAGUGUUGUAGUCAAGUCAGCAAACCUUGAGUUGAGUCUGGAGUCCCCAGGGUUCAAGCCCAAGUCCAAGGCAUCAGAGAAUAAUCCAACAAUCCAAUCCUCAUGACCCAAGUCUAAAUCAAAGUGGAGUCCUUGUGGUUGAGUUCCUAGAAGAGCUUCAGUUCACAAAUUAAGAACGUGUAUGUCUUAGAAAGCUAGACGCAUGAUUUAUGGCACCUUUUUAGGCGUUGUUACAGAAACUGACUCCUGAACUGGAUGGCAUGUGAACACAUAUGCAAGUACCAACCCUCGCUCAAAACUAAGUUGUUAGAGCUUUCUUCAGAAGGAGUAAUAAAAAAUUAUUCACACAGAAAGAAAAAAAAAAGCUAAAUAAAUGAUUGCAAGUCCUCCUCUUGAAUUUCUGAAUCCGAAUGCCCUAGUCCAAGUCACGGACAUCAGAGCUGGUGUUCAAGGCCAGUCACGAGUCCUGAAAAUCAGAACUAAACUCUGAUUCCUGGGCUCGCGUACACUACAAUGCUGGAAGAGAUUGUAUAACUGUGAGUCGUGUCAGAGUGUGUAUGCGGGCGUUAAAACUUCUCUUCUUCUUCUUGUUUUUUUUUUCCUUGGCAUGGAAAACUUCACAAGUGUCAGAGUGACAUAUUUCACAAGAAUAUAAGAGAUAUGAGUGACAGCUGUAAAAAGGCAAAGAAACCCAAAUAGACAAAGAUUUCCUGAGGCAACAGUGGAACGUGUCCAGUCUGUCUGACCACAGUUUGUACAAGGCUCUUUGCUGGAAAAAAAAAAAAAGAGAAACCUGAAUGAACUUGAGACUCAUUUUUGGGCAUUAGGCCUGAGGGCUGCAAGUGUUAUCUGGCUGCAUCAAGUUUACUUUGUUAAAGAAAAGAAAGAAUAGUGGAGUGUAUGGGGGAGGGAGUGUAAUGGGAGUCUUUAGCAGGGAGUAAAAGGGACUGAAAGGAUUUUGAUCCAGUGAUAUUAUAUAUCUGUCCUGGUCAGGGCAGACAAAAGCACACAGCAAACCACCAGAGAGCAAAGCAUGUCAUCUGAAUAGUAUGUCUUCUUUGCUGUGUUGUACAUCCAAAGGCUUUGUGUGCUUGAAUUUGGCUGGUAGACGGCACAAAGGAGGCAGUUUGUUCGCCCCUGACAAGUGUGCUUUUAUUUGCGGCGGCACUUUGAUGUAUAGAGAAACUUUGGCUGGGAUAUCCCUCGCAGACAAAUGCAUGAGAAAUCCCACUCCUUUGUAUUAUCCUUAACAAUUCCCUCACCAUUCACUGCAAAGCUUUUAUCCCCUGUAAGACUUUUAUUUUAUACUUUGUGCCUACUAUCUGUCUGUCAACUGUAAUGGAGAGCUGUGUUUGACUUUAUUUUGCAGAGUGGGGUUUGAUGGGGAAUUAGGAGCAUGUGGAAAAAACAAUCUAAGAAGGUAAUGUUUUUUUUAUAAUCAGGCAGAGUUUGUCCAGUUGUGGUCACAUUUUUUGAUUUCCAUUUUGCUGAGCAGUUUAAAGAAAACUGUUUUAAAUUUGGGACAUGUUGUUCUUUAAGUUAAGAUCUCAACCACUCUCAUAUCUGUACAGUGAAUAUCAAGCUACAGCUGUCUUGCUUUGUCAAGCUUUGCUCAAGGCCGUAAAAAGAGGAAACCUUAAAAGCAACAAAUCCACCGAGCAGCACUGCUCAGGUAAACAAAAUCCAACGUUACGAAAAAUGUGAAAACAAUAAAUUGGGUAACCUUGGUUGUCAGCAGAACCUCAUUCAGCUUUGCUUUUACUGCUGAAUAAUGGUUCUGUUAAGCCAGGUGCCCUAGUGUAUUACAAAGCUCCUGUGCAUCAAGAGAUAAAGCUUGAGGGAGUCUGGCACUGGUAACAGAAGUUACUCCACCAAAUGAGAAAUUUACUGUAAUUAUCACUUUGGUUAUUACUUCAGGUAGCAGUUUCUGAAUGUUUGCAACUUUUAUUUUGUGAUUUUGGGUCCCAUUGAGAGUAAAAUCAGCGAUGAACUAGGAGGUUGUAGAGUGUAUUUACCACGAUCGUCCAAAUCUGUCAAUUUCUGACUCUUAAAAACAAGAUGAAUUUGUCGUCCCAGAAGAUUUUAAACUGAUGCUGGAUCAGUCUCAACCAGGGAUGUUUCCUUUUUUCCCCCAAAUCAUCAACUUGGGUUUCUUGACUGUAUGAUUGAUCAUAAAUCUGUCAGCUUUGAAAAGCGAAGAAGAUUUCGCUCAGACACAGCCAGGUUUCCUUCCUCAGUCUUAGCCUCACUGAAGUAUUUCUGUUUAUUUUAAACUUUCAGAGUUCAGUGUUAUUUCCUUACAGGUAAAUUAUACAGUCUCAGGUCUUUACUUCCUCUUAGGACCCUUAUACUUUCUCUUAUAUUAGACUGCUUCAAUUUUUUUUCAUAUGAUCACAGUGAAAGAGCUAAAACACUCGAUCCGCCCUGUCCUGGACCCCCUCUAGUACUUCAGCAGAUAAAGAUUAUGAUCAUCACAUUGGCAUUUUUAGUAGUGGGGUGAGGAAAUUGAGUUUUUACAUUAAACAUUUUAAAAAAUAAAACUGUUUUGUUUUCAAACCAACGUAUUAUUGUUAAAUGCUGGUAUGCUGAACUUGUUGAGCUUGUAAAGCGAAACUAUCCUGGAAAUCUGAAAAAGCCUGUGUUUUCUUAGUCAAAUUACAAUAAAGGGCUCGAUGUCCAUUUCAGAAAUCCAAUACAAGGUCAACAGCCUGUGCUGCCUCAGUUCACUGGUGUAGGACUGAGUCAUCCUAAUGAAUAUCUGAACUCACCAUCUACCACCGACCUCCUGAGUGUGCACGUAGCAUUGCUGUGGAACAAAUUCCUUACAUACAUAUAACCACACUGGGUAUUUAGAUGAAAUGGUAAUUGUUUCUGUUUUACUCAAUUUUCAGUAUAUCUUCCUAUGUGGAUAUUUUACAAUGUUGAGGCAUGCAAAUAGGGCCCCCUCUCAAUGGCUAAAGCCACCAAAUAAAGCUGAACCAUCAAGUCCAAAUGGGUACAGUUUUAGAUGAUAUUAUUUUUCCUUUUCUUGCAGGGUGCAGCUGAGAACUGGAAGAAGAGACAGUUGUGAAAUGUGAACAUCUCUGUGGACGUGUGCGAUAUAUAUGUGUUGCAAUGAAGGUCAGUGUCUGGUGCUUCUCCUGCGAAAUAUUUGGCUGGUCAUAAAGGGGCUACCAUUUGCAGUGUUGUCUUGAAUGCAAAAUUUCAGGUCACCACCACUGGGAACCAAUAAUGCCUUUGGCUAAGCAACAAGAUGCAAAUACAUCUAUUCAAAUUCGCACCACUCCAUACACUUUGGAGCUUACACAAACACUCACACACAAUCUCAUCUCAGUGCAGCAGAAUUAAAUUGCAUUGCGCUCAUUUCAGUCAUGAAUAAGUCACAAUCCUGGGGUGGCGUUUGACCCGAGACAAGUUUAGAUCUAAUAUUUCUCUGUUCACAUCCCUUGUUUCCUGAGAAAUUCAGCUUUUUAGAAAAAUUCUAGUGCAUGUAAAUCCAAUUUUUACUUCUUUCUUCCUUGUUGUUUACUGUGAGUUACGGUAAUCAUAAACCUAAAGGUGCACAGCCUUUUUUUCCUUCACUCCUGGAACAAACGCAGGUUAAUCAGAGUUAGAGGAUCGGUGCUCUUAUAUGUCACAAUCUGAGCUCCAGACUGCUCCCCUCAGGCACUACAGACAGAGUUUACAUAGUCACCAGGUGUUAAACUGCUAAAUGAUGGUCGGGGGAAAGACAGAUGAUUCCAUAUGUAGCAAAGCCAGACAGAAACCCUCAAUAUCCCACCAGCUCAUUCAGUCCAAUUUCAGCCUGCCAAGCCACCGGGGGCAACCCAAAUAUCAUCCAUCCUGACACUGUCCAUCACUCUAUACAUAGAACAGCGGAAUUAGCACAAACGUUGCACUCGCCAUCAGUGUGAAGUAUGGUGGCAGUAGGGGCGAUUAUUUACGGGGCUGCAUUACUUUCUGAAGACCUGAGCUCUGAGUCACCGACCGAGCCUGAUAAUUAAUUCCACGCUCUACAGAAAUAUUAUGAAGCUCCACAACAGAAAGACAGAUGUACAGUGUGAAACACAUUGUCAACAGGGUGACUGGAUUUAGAUUUUCUGACUGCUUCAUUUUGAAGAAAGAGGAAUUAUACAGUUUUAUGUCAACAAUUGAAGACCUGUACGCGAGCGUUUGAUUUUUCAGCAAAGUAGGAAUCGUUCAAGCUUUCAGUGAGAAGACAAAUGGUGAGGGAGUUUGAUUCAGUUUGUAAUCAGAGUAUUUGUUGUUUUCUGUCUGCUCUUUAUUUGUCCCACAGCUCGACUUCCUGUAGAUACAAAGAGGUAGAGACGAACAGGGAUCUGACAGUAAGAGAUAACCUGCCAUCAGCCGGCCUUCUAUUUUUAACUGCAG